AUCAUGGCUCAGGAUGAACGCUAGCGGCAGGCUUAACACAUGCAAGUCGAGGGGCAGCAUGACACGGAGAUUCGUCGAAGUGUUGAUGGCGACCGGCGCAAGGGUGCGUAACGCGUGAGCAACUUGCCCGUUUCUGGGGGAUAACCGGUGGAAACGCCGACUAAUACCCCACAGUAUUGGAUUUAGGCAUCUUUAUCCAAUUAAAGAAUUUCGGAAACGGAUAGGCUCGCGUGACAUUAGCAAGAUGGCGGGUAACGGCCCACCAUGGCUACGAUGUCUAGGGGUUCUGAGAGGAAGGUCCCCCACACUGGAACUGAGACACGGUCCAGACUCCUACGGGAGGCAGCAGUGAGGAAUAUUGGUCAAUGGUCGGAAGACUGAACCAGCCAUGCCGCGUGAAGGUCACGGCCCUAUGGGUCUUAAACUUCUUUUGUAAGGGAGCAAUAAGGCGUACGUGUACGUCGAUGAGAGUACCUUACGAAUAAGCAUCGGCUAACUCCGUG
rnacentral:rRNA from 1 species